GUUGUUUGAGCAAGCACUAAAUCAGAUGCUGAUAAGGUUCCGGAUUGAUCAACAUCAAGAUCCUCAAACUCUUCCAUUACAAGAGAGAUAUCUUCUUCUGUAAUCUUACCCAUCUCUUUAAGCUUAUAAAUGACAAACUCAGCAGCCCCAACAACUCCAUCAUUAUCAAUAUCAGCUGCCUCCAGAUCAAGGUUGGUCAUCUUUCUAGUAAGGACCCAAUUGACCAGUGCCCUUUGUCUGCUUUCAGUGAACAUCUCAGCAACGUUGAAGAAAAACUGACCUAAACCAACUGUACUGAUCAGUAUCCAAAAUAUGGCAAAUGCACGCCCACCUCUAGUUGAGAAGCUCUUAUCUCCAUAACCUAAGGUUGUGACUGUUGAACAGACAAAAUAGAUUGCAUUCAUAAGGUCUAAACCUUCGACCGAAGAUAUGAAGAUGGUUCCAACCACCAUAAGCAGUAACAUGAUGGCUAAUGUCAAGAGGAACUUGUAUCUCACUCUGUUAGAUUCAAUCUCCUUCAUGAUUUGACUUGGACCCUUUUUAUGAUACUUUUUU
rnacentral:misc_RNA from 1 species